AUUGAACGCUGGCGGCAUGCUUUACACAUGCAAGUCGAACGAGUGGCGAACGGGUGAGUAACGCAUCGGAACGUGCCUAGUAGAGGGGGAUAACUAUCCGAAAGGACAGCUAAUACCGCAUAUUAUUCGAGCGGCCGGUGUCGGAUUAGCGGGUGGGCGGGGUAAAGGCCCACCAAGGCGACGAUCCGUAGCGGGUCUGAGAGGAUGAUCAGCCACACUGGGACUGAGACACGGCCCAGACUCCUACGGGAGGCAGCAGUGGGGAAUUUUGGACAAUGGGCGAAAGCCUGAUCCAGCCAUGCCGCGUGUCUGAAGAAGGCCUUCGGGUUGUAAAGGACUUUUGGCAGGGAAGCGGUACCUGAAGAAUAAGCACCGGCUAACUACGUGCCAGCAGCCGCGGUAAUAC
rnacentral:rRNA from 1 species